rnacentral:rRNA from 1 species
GGGUCAGUAGGUUGGUCGUGCCACCGGUACGUACUGGUCUCACUGAUUCCUCCUUCCUGAAGAACCGUAAUGCCAUUAAUUUGGUGUUGCGGGGAAACAGGACUGUUACUUUGAAAAAAUUAGAGUGUUUAAAGCAAGCUAGCGCUUGAAUACAUUAGCAUGGAGUAAUGAAAUAGGACGAUCGAUCCUAUUUUGUUGGUUUCUAGGAUUGACGUA